AAUUUAUGUAGUCAGUUAUGUUUGUCAGUUUGUCAUUUGUGUUUGCCAGUCUGUCAGUUUCUAUGACGACAUGACGUGGCCAGGUUUAAUUUCUGCUAAUCACCAGAGGGCGCUUUCUAGUAAUUUAAUGAUCAAUUUGGACUGUUUUUAUUUUUCUAAUUUGUUAUUUAAAAAAACAAAACAAAUUGUAUUCAAUAGAUUUUUUUUUUCUCAAUUGAUUUGUGUUCUGAAACAAUUAUACGAUCACAUGUCACGGAAAAUAUUUUGUUGGAACUCAGGUCUGCUCUGAUAGAUAAGUUGACCAGUAGGAAGGCUAACUGCGCCAUUUGUGUUUGUCAACCACCAAUUGCAGUGAAAUCCAACUGACUGGCCCCCGCUGUGUGAAUGACGGGACGGAUAUGAGGAGCCGUCACAUAUGGCAUAAAUGGCCACGGAAGAAAACAAAGAGCUAAAGACUCAACUUGCAGAGAUCCAGCUUGAAUACGACAAACGGUUUAAGGAACUGGACAAGGAAAUUGUCAAAUUGUUUCAAGAAAACAAGGCACUGGAGCAAAAAGUGCAACAGCUGACCGAAAAGCUGGAGAAAAUAGAAAAGGGAAAGGAAAGGCAGCUGGAUUCAGAUCAGCCACAGAGUGGCAUGCGUCUCUUAAAAUAUUUCACCAUGGGCUUCGGCAUAGGCCUUGCAUGUGUUGCAGUACUCGAGACAGGUCUUGAUGUCGAGAUUGGUUUCAAGACCGCUUCUUGAUGGACUCGGUCUCGGACAUUGAAGACCAGUGACGUGCGGUCAGGGGAAGCAGGUGUCAUCAUGGAAAAAUAAUAUAUAAUAAUAAAAUAAUUUACAUUGCUA